rnacentral:rRNA from 1 species
AGUGAACGCUGGCGGUAGGCCUAACACAUGCAAGUCGAACGGCAGCACAGUAAGAGCUUGCUCUUACGGGUGGCGAGUGGCGGACGGGUGAGGCAUACAUCGGAAUCUACUUUUUCGUGGGGGAUAACGUAGGGAAACUUACGCUACUACCGCAUACGACCUACGGCUGAAAGCAGUGGAUCUUCGGACCUUGCGCGAUUGAAUGAGCCGAUGUCGGAUUAGCUAGUUGGCGGGGUAAAGGCCCACCAAGGCGACGAUCCGUAGCUGGUCUGAGAGGAUGAUCAGCCACACUGGAACUGAGACACGGUCCAGACUCCUACGGGAGGCAGCAGUGGGGAAUAUUGGACAAUGGGCGCAAGCCUGAUCCAGCCAUACCGCGUGGGUGAAGAAGGCCUUCGGGUUGUAAAGCCCUUUUGUUGGGAAAGAAAAGCAGCAGGUUAAUACCCCGCUGUUCUGACGGUACCCAAAGAAUAAGCACCGGCUAACUUCGUG